GAAAAAUUAGUUAAAUAAAAAUAACAUUAGAUUGUCAAUCUAAAAUAAAUUAAUAUAAUUAUUUUUCU
rnacentral:tRNA from 1 species